rnacentral:tRNA from 1 species
AAAAAGAUAAGCUAAUAAAGCUUUUGGGUUCAUACCCCAACCACAAAGGUGUCACUCCUUUUCUUUUUA